rnacentral:rRNA from 1 species
AUUGAACGCUGGCGGCAGGCCUAACACAUGCAAGUCGAGCGGAUGAAGGGAGCUUGCUCCUGGAUUCAGCGGCGGACGGGUGAGUAAUGCCUAGGAAUCUGCCUGGUAGUGGGGGAUAACGUCCGGAAACGGGCGCUAAUACCGCAUACGUCCUGAGGGAGAAAGUGGGGGAUCUUCGGACCUCACGCUAUCAGAUGAGCCUAGGUCGGAUUAGCUAGUUGGUGGGGUAAAGGCCUACCAAGGCGACGAUCCGUAACUGGUCUGAGAGGAUGAUCAGUCAAACUGGAACGGAGACACGGUCCAGACUCCUACGGGAGGCAGCGGUGGGGAAUAUUGGACAAUGGGCGAAAGCCUGAUCCAGCCAGGCCGCGUGUGUGAAGAAGGUCUUCGGAUUGUAAAGCACUUUAAGUUGGGAGGAAGGGCAGUAAGUUAAUACCUUGCUGUUUUGACGUUACCAACAGAAUAAGCACCGGCUAACUUCGU